ACUCCGUUGGUGAACCAGCGGAGGGAUCAUUACCGAGUUUACAACUCCCAAACCCCUGUGAACAUACCAUUUGUUGCCUCGGCGGUGCCUGCCUCGGCAGCCCGCCAGAGGACCCAAACCCUUGAUUUUAUACAGUAUCUUCUGAGUAAAUGAUUAAAUAAAUCAAAACUUUCAACAACGGAUCUCUUGGUUCUG
rnacentral:misc_RNA from 1 species